GACGAACCGUGCGAACGUUAUUCGGAAUCACUGGGCUUAAAGGGCGCGUAGGCGGGCGGACAAGUCGGGGGUGAAAUCGUUCGGCCCAACCGGACAAGGGCCCCCGAUACUGGCCGUCUGGAGGGAGGUAGGGGUCGAUGGAACUUCCGGUGGAGCGGUGAAAUGCGUAGAUAUCAGGAGGAACACCGGUGGCGAAGGCGGGUCUCUGGGCCGAAACUGACGCUGAGGAGCGAAAGCGUGGGGAGCAAACAGG
rnacentral:rRNA from 1 species